CUAGCGACUUCUAGAGUUUGUAUCCUGGCUCAGGAUUAACGCUGGCGGCGUGCAUAACACAUUCAAGUCGAACGGAAUGCGGGGCUUCGGUCUUGCAUUUAGUGGCGGACGGGUGAGUAACGCGUGAGCAAUCUGCCCUUGGGUACGGAAUAACAACCGGAAACAGUUGCUAAUACCGUAUGAAAUGGCAAUGUCGCAUGACAUAACCAUCAAAGAUUCAUCGCCCAAGGAUGAGCUUGCGUCCGAUUAGAUAGUUGGUGAGGUAACGGCUCACCAAGUCGACGAUCGGUAGCCGGACUGAGAGGUUGAACGGCCACAUUGGAACUGAGAUACGGUCCAG
rnacentral:rRNA from 1 species